GACGAACGCUGGCGGCGUGCUUAACACAUGCAAGUCGAGCGGUAAGGCCCUUUCGGGGGUACACGAGCGGCGAACGGGUGAGUAACACGUGGGUGACCUGCCCUUAGCUCUGGGAUAAGCCUGGGAAACUGGGCCUAAUACCGGAUAUGACUCCAUGACGCAUGUUGUGGGGUGGAAAGCCUUGCGCGGCUAGGGAUGGGCCCGCGGCCUAUCAGCUUGUUGGUGGGGUGAUGGCCUACCAAGGCGACGACGGGUAGCCGGCCUGAGAGGGCGACCGGCCACACUGGGACUGAGACACGGCCCAGACUCCUACGGGAGGCAGCAGUGGGGAAUCUUGCGCAAUGGGCGAAAGCCUGACGCAGCGACGCCGCGUGAGGGAUGACGGCCUGG
rnacentral:rRNA from 1 species